AGUCGAACGCGAAAGCCCCGCAGGGGUAAGUAGAGUGGCAAACGGGUGAGUAACACGUGGGUGACCUGCCUUCGAGUGGGGGAUAACGUCCCGAAAGGGACGCUAAUACCGCAUGACAUCCUGCUYUUGGAMRAGCGGAGAUCAAAGCYGGGGAUCGCAAGACCUGGCGCUUGAAGAGGGGCCCGCGYCUGAUUAGCUAGUUGGURRGGUAACGGCYYACCAAGGCRACGAUCAGUAUCCGGCCUGAGAGGGCGGACGGACACACUGGGACUGAGACACGGCCCAGACUCCUACGGGAGGCAGCAGUGGGGAAUUGUUCGCAAUGGGCGCAAGCCUGACGACGCAACGCCGCGUGGAGGACGAAGAUCUUCGGGUCGUAAACUCCUGUCGAGUGGGAAGAAUGCUUCGGGGAUGAAUAAUCCCCGGAAUUGACGGUACCACUAAAGGAAGCCCCGGCUAACUCCGUGCCAGCAGCCGCGGUAAUACGGGGGGGGCAAGCGUUGUUCGGAAUUACUGGGCGUAAAGGGCUCGUAGGCGGCCAACUAAGUCGGAUGUGAAAUCCCCAGGCUUAACCUGGGAACUGCAUCCGAUACUGGAUGGCUUGAAUUCGGGAGAGGGAUGCAGAAUUCCAGGUGUAGCGGUGAAAUGCGUAGAUAUCUGGAGGAAUACCGGUGGCGGAGGCGGCAUCCUGGACCGACAUUGACGCUGAGGAGCGAAAGCUAGGGGAGCAAACGGGAUUAGAUACCCCGGUAGUCCUAGCCCUAAACGAUGAAUGCUUGGUGUGG
rnacentral:rRNA from 1 species